rnacentral:rRNA from 1 species
GACGGAGGAUGCAAGUGUUAUCCGGAAUCACUGGGCGUAAAGCGUCUGUAGGUGGUUCGAAAAGUCCACUGUUAAAGAUUGAGGCUUAGCUUCAAAAAUGCCGUGGAAACUUUCAAACUAGAGUAUGGUAGGGGUAGAGGGAAUUUCCAGUGGAGCGGUGAAAUGCGUAGAUAUUGGAAAGACCACCGAUGGCGAAGGCACUCUACUGGGCCAUUACUGGCACUGAGAGACGAAAGCUAGGGGAGCAAAUGGG